GUCGUAACAAGGUUUCCGUAGGUGAACCUGCGGAAGGAUCAUUACCACACCGAUCGAUCGAUGAAUGGUUUGUAUGAAAGUAUGAACCGUCGUCCUUCUUUUUCCCUGCGAAGUUUGUUUGUGUUGGUUGGUUUCGGCCGCACAACUACACACAGUCCUGCCUAUCUGGUGGGGCGACCCAUAAAACAUCCGUCUAUUUUACGACGUUCACUGGAAAGACCCAAAAGUACGGAACCGAAACCGGGAGGAGCACUACUAUUACAAUAUGAUUGUAUGGAUAUGUGAUCCACCAGGUAACAAACUCAAUGGAGCAACAACUUUCAGCGAUGGAUGUCUAGGUUCCCA
rnacentral:misc_RNA from 1 species